UCGUCUAUAUACGUAUAGCAUAUCAAUAAGCGGAGGAAAAGAAACUAACAAGGAUUCCCUUAGUAACGGCGAGUGAAGCGGGAAGAGCUCAAAUUUGAAAUCUUCAAGGUUCUACCUUGACGAAUUGUAGUUUAAAGAAGUGUUUUCUGUUGGUGUUUUGGUAAAAGUUCUUUGGAAUAGGACAUCAUAGAGGGUGAGAAUCCCGUAUUUGGUUGUUCAUUCUAGCUUUGUGAUACACUUUCAAAGAGUCGGAUUGUUUGGGAAUGCAGUCCAAAAUGGGUGGUAAAUUUCAUCUAAAGCUAAAUACUUGGCGAGAGACCGAUAGCGAACAAGUACCGUGAGGGAAAGAUGAAAAGAACUUUGAAAAGAGAGUUAAACAGUACGUGAAAUUGUCAAAAGGGAAGCGUUUGACACCAGUGUUGUUUUCUCGAAAAUCAAUUAAAAAAAGAUCGGAUUUUGUAUUGUAAUUGACCUUUAUCAGCUUUACUGCUACUCUUUUCUUGUCUUUUUUAAUGCACUUUUCGUUUAACAAGUCAACAUCAAUUUCUUCUGUUGUAAAAGGGUCAUUGGAAGGUGGCUUUCUUUUCGGAGAAAGUGUUUAUAGCCUUUGGCCUCUGCAAUCGGAGAGAUUGAGGUCUGCAGCGUAGACCCUUCGGGGUUAGAUACAUUUGUGCUAAGUUAUAGCCUUUCAUAGACAACUUGUUGACUAUGAUCAGUCAUGUAGCUUACUCGCUUAUGCUAUUUUACCUACGCUUAGGAUGUUGACUGAUAUGUAGUCGUA
rnacentral:rRNA from 1 species